rnacentral:rRNA from 1 species
UACGUAGGGGGAAGCGUUGUCCGGAUUUAUUGGGCGUAAAGCGCUCGCAGGUGGUUCGAUGCGUCGUGCGUGAAAGACCCCGGCUCAACUGGGGAGGGUCGUGCGAUACGGUCGAACUGGAGGCCAGUAGGGGGAUGCGGAAUUCCUGGUGUAGCGGUGAAAUGCGCAGAUAUCAGGAAGAACACCAAUGGCGAAGGCAGCUCUCUGGGACGGUACUGACGCUGAGACGCGAAAGCGUGGGGAGCGAACAGG